CGCCGCCAGCUCCCGAGGAGAGACAGCUUGCGCACUAGGAUCUAGAGGCCAGCCAAGCCGGGACACACCCUGAGGCCCAGAUGGAGGACAUCACAGGAGGGGAACAGACCGGAGGACCCCCCGAAGCAGAGAACCUGGCGUUUAUGCCAAGCAGCUGCCCCUUUCCAGUUUCCCUGUUCAAACACGGAACGUUAACUUCAAGGGAGCUCUCCGGAUCUGGGCGUACGACCGGCAUCUGCGCUAAACACAGGAUCGGCUUAUCCAGGUGAAGGACUCCAGCUCUCAUCCCCUGCUAUGGCUCACGUGCACUGGGACGCACAGGUGGGGCGCUUCCGGAUGACAAUCCCCAGGGGUUUGCUGCUCAGCGUGCUGAUUUACAACGCGGUCUCUGGUAUCCGAUGUCCAGAGAAGGC